rnacentral:rRNA from 1 species
GGUACCCUACGGGGCGCAGCAGUGGGGGAUAUUGCACAAUGGGGGAAACCCUGAUGCGGCGACGCCGCGUGGGUGAAGAAGCGCCUCGGCGCGUAAAGCCCUGUCAGCAGGGAAGAAAAUGACGGUACCUGAAGAAGAAGCCCCGGCUAACUACGUGCCAGCAGCCGCGGUAAUACGUAGGGGGCAAGCGUUAUCCGGAUUUACUGGGUGUAAAGGGGGCGCAGACGGCGAUGCAAGCCAGGAGUGAAAGCCCGGGGCCCAACCCCGGGACUGCUCUUGGAACUGCGUGGCUAGAGUGCAGGGGG